rnacentral:rRNA from 1 species
CAGUCGCCGCGGUAAUACGUAGGUGGCAAGCGUUGUCCGGAAUUAUUGGGCGUAGAGGGCUCGCAGGCGGUUUCUUAAGUCUGAUGCGAAAGCCCCCGGCCCAACCGGGGAGGGUCAUUGGAAACUGGGAAACUUGAGUGCAGAAGAGGAGAGUGGAAUUCCACGUGUAGCGGUGAAAUGCGUAGCGACGUGGAGGAACACCAGUGGCGAAGGCGACUCUCUGGUCUGUAACUGACGCUGAGGAGCGAAAGCGUGGGGAGCGAACAGGAUUAGAUACCCCCGUAGUCCCUGUCUCUUAUCA